GCCAGAGCCAUAUCACCCUGCAGCUCUUGCCUGGUUGCCCCCUGAAGCUAAGCAGGGUUGAGCCUGACCAGUACCUGGCUGGGAGGCCUCCUGGGGACUGCUAAGGUUGUAGCUGGAA
rnacentral:rRNA from 1 species